rnacentral:rRNA from 1 species
CCUACGGGUGGCUGCAGUGAGGAAUAUUGGUCAAUGGGCGCGAGCCUGAACCAGCAAAGCCGCGUGAAGGAUGAAGGCCCUACGGGUUGUAAACUUCUUUUAUAAAGGAAUAAAGUGAGGCACGUGUGCCUUUUUGUAUGUACCUUAUGAAUAAGGAUCGGCUAACGCCGUGCCAGCAGCCGCGGUAAUACGGAGGAGCAGUGCGUUGUCCGGAUUUGUUGGGGUGAAAGGGAGCGUAGACGGGUUGUUAGGUCAGUUGUGAAAGUCUGCGGCUCAACCGUAAAAUUGCAUUUGAUACUGUCAGUCUUGAGUACAGGUGAGUCAGGCGGAAUUCCUGGUGUAGCGGUGAAAUGCUUAGAUAU